rnacentral:misc_RNA from 1 species
UCUCGGCUUAUCACCGGCAGUCCCCCUAGAGUGCCCAACUGAGUGAUGGCAACUAAGGGCAAGGGUUGCGCUCGUUGCGGGACUUAACCCAACAUCUCACGACACGAGCUGACGACAGCCAUGCAGCACCUGUGUGCAGGUCCCCGAAGGGAAGGAGUCCAUCUCUGGAAACCGUCCUGCCAUGUCAAGGGCUGGUAAGGUUCUGCGCGUUGCUUCGAAUUGAACCACACGCUCCACCGCUUGUGCGGGCCCCCGUCAAUUCCUUUGAGUUUCGACCUUGCGGUCGUACUUCCCAGGUGGAUCACUUAAUGCUUUCGCUUAGUCGCUGACUGUGUAUCGCCAACAACGAGUGAUCAUCGUUUACGGUGCGGACUAC